CGGUCUAUGUUCCUUAUUGUCAAGACCAAAGUUGGACAGGAAGCCAUCAGGAUUUAAGGACCCAUUUAAACCAUCUCCGGCAUGGCAUCAUCCCCAGCAUCCAUGCCGACCGGUUAUUUGUAACGAGAGGGAGCCAGACUCUUGGCCAGCACGCGGGUGUGUCGAGGGCACUGGCUUUGCCACCCACCUGCAGCCCCUCCUGCAAUGAAGGGAGACUUUGUUCCAAGUCCGCCCCGGAGAGGAGCCAACCUGGCUGCUGGUCUCCGAGGUGUGAAACUUUCCAUGCAACACCUUGGUGAAUGUGUUGAUUAUUCACUAUAUCUCAGAAUAGUUGAAAUAUAAUUACAAUGAAAUUUUGUAUAAUCAUUUCUGGAAUCCUUGAAUGAAUUCUGAGGGGUCCCGGGCUGCGUGGUUUGGAAACUCAUUUAUACCCCUCCUGGGACGUCCUUCUCACUCCGCCUUGGGUUGUGGUUAUGAGUUCUGAGUUAUCCCAGAGGUAGAGUCGUUUUCCUAAACUAGAGUUUAGCAAAGAUCUAGGGCCGUUGUUACAAGCCUAAUAAAUACUUGAGAAAUGAAUGAAUGAAUGAAUGAAUGAAGGACCCCUUCAAGGACAAGGAAUGGUCAUUCUUUUGGUAUCCAGGGACUAAGCAUAGGAUCUGGCAGGUGGUAGUGAAUCAGUGAAUGAGUGAAUGGAAAGGGUCCUUGCCUCCUGUGUCCUUGCAACAUGCAUCCCUGUUAGGGAAGGGAGCUGGUGCCAUCAUGAUGUUGCCUGGUCCUUGGCUUUAGAAGACCAGCCCGAGGAAUCUGCUGUCUCAGCUCAGACUGCAUCAUCGGCUGCCCAGUGCUUAAAGGAGCUAGUCCCACCAGAAACUUCCGUGCCCAUUCCUCAUGGUCGGGGCACCCACGUGCAGCCCCAGCCUUUGAGCUGAAGGCUGAAUUUGGAAGAAGUGAUUUUGGGCUUCUGUUGCUUUUCUGAGAUAGGAGUCUCCCAGGCCAGAGGGCUGCCAGUUGGUGGGUCUGGAAAGACAGAGGGUGUGAGUAGGGGGCUCCCCUGUCUGCUCCCCCACGCACCUGGGCCCGCGUGGAAUCCGCCAGCUCUGGGAGGCCUUGCCUUUGAUGGACACCACUGACAUGACUGGACUUGUCAGGGCCCAUCAGGGAAGGCAGGUUUCGGCAGUGAAUUGAAUUUGCUAGCAAGAUAAUCAGUUAUUGAUUGGAAGGGUGAGCCACUGCUCCUGUCUGCUUCUGAGGAAAUGAACUUCUUCUCUUUCUGGAAUAUUUACUGGUGGGAGAGAAGCAGGGACAGCCCGAGUCAGCUUGGCCGAAGUGAUGCUGAAGGGGCCACAUCCACGAUAUUUACGUAGGUGAAAUGGGGCUACGCAUGCCCUUGGGGACAGGGCAGCUCUGUCCCACACCCGGUGGGAAGCCCUGAUGCCCAGGUGUCUGAUUCCCCACCUCUUGCUUCAGAUUUCCAUGGAGGGUCUCUGCCCCCGGGGCCUGGACCAGGGCUCCCCCACCCUCCCUGAGAAACCCUGACUCUGGGAUACCGUUGACUGUAGAGGGCACCAUCGACCUAACAACAGCAUGCUGGGAGAGACCGUGAAGCCCCAUCGUAUGUAGCAUUCAUCAUAAUUACAAAUGUGUCCCGAUUCCAGACAAGCUAAAAAGAGAGGAAAAAAAAGCGUGACUUGGAGUCAGGGAAAUGUGGUGUUGUUAUUUUCAUUGUUCACAUUAUUAAUUUGUUUACAUCUCACUUUGUACCCAAAGGGUUUGCUGUGGGGAGUUGGGACGGCUGCUCCCACAUCCCUCUGACACUUCUUGGCUGAGAGGCGCUCAGUCGGGGAGGAGGAGGGGGAGGAGGCUCAGGCGGCACGUGCAUGCUUGCUUGGCCCGGGACCGUGUGCAGCCACAGACCUGCGAGGCCCUCCUCACCUCCUCCAGCCCAGCGAGGUGCCUACCACCAGGGAGCACUCUCACCUCAAGCCCAGUGCGUGGUCCGUACGACCAGGGAGCACUCUCACCUCCUCCAGCCCAGCGAGGUCCCUACAACCAAGGAGCACUCUCACUUCCUCCCAGCCCAGCGAGGUGCCUACCACCAGGGAGCACUCUCACCUGCCACCUGUGCCCCCACAGCCCCAAUGUACUCGUGCUCUGGGCCCUGGAAAUUCAGGUCCUGAGGCCCCAAGCCUGUUUCCAAGGCGCAUCUGAGUCCAUCCUUCUGGGACAAGUGAGCGGGAGCAAGGGGCUGUUGAGUGCAGCCAGAGCCUGAUCUGAGGUGCUCCCCUCAGGGGCAGGGCUGCCUCCCCACAGCACAGAUGUAGGAUGGUGGAGAAGGGGAUGGUCUGGGGGCCGCCAGGGGUCCAGACCAUCUCUGCUGUGCUGCCUGCACAAUUGACCCUUCGCUUCAAGGAGUGGAGAAUUCUGAACUCGAGCCUGGCCUUCUGGGUCAAGGGUGAGCUUACCUGUCAAGGUGGGAGGCCAGAACACGUUCCAUCGAAGCUUGCUGGCCUGAUUCUGCAUGGGCCUCUGUUUUACUCUUGCCCUCAGCCUCUGAUUGUUUGGGGGCCUCACGGUGACCUGACCAGUGAAGGAACGACCUCGUCUGCAUAUAGAACAUUCUCUGUUUUCCCCGGGCUGCAUGGCCCACAGCUGGCAGCUCCAGCCCAGGACUUCUGUGCAUCAGGCGGGUCAAAGUCCAGGAUUAGGAGCUUCCUGACUCAAAGUCUGGGUCUCCCCUUCCUCUCUGGAUGGCCCUCAGGGGCCCGGUCUUGGGAGGAAUAUGCACCCAGGUGACACUUUCCGUGGUGGCUCCACCUUUGCCGGGUGGGACUUGGGAGAAGUUCGCUGGGCUUAUAUCCCCUGCAUCCUUGGGGGGCUUUGUGCUCAGGACUGACUUCAGUCCAGAUGCCCAUUCUUCCUUCUGUGCAGAGAAGGCUCUGUGCCCCGGGGUGCUGAAGCGAUGCUUCCUUCUCUCUAUUCCUGGCCACGUCCCAUGGAAAGGGCGAGGAAAUUUUGCGAUUGGAUCCCGGGCUGGCUGGAGACCCGGGUGGAAUGGUGUUCGUGUUUAUUCUGGAUGGAGCCCUUUCUACCUGCAAAUCGUAGCUAAUCCCUGGCUUCACCCAGAGGGAGACUCUGUGAGCUGGACAAAGGUGGGGGCCUGAGUCAGGAGCAGAAUCCAAGAGCAGAAUCAAGGUUUCUCCGGGGAGCCGGAUCAAUAUAGACAGCUAAUCCCCGGGCCUCUGAUCAUCCCUGGGCUCAUCAGAGUGUGGCCUCUGGUCCCUGGAAUACUCAGGACCUGGGUAUUCUGCCUCAUUAAUUUUCUGGUCACCUUGGGGUGGGCUGGGGGAAAGGAAUGCCUCCUGUUUGCAGAUUUUGUGAUGGAAAAUCACGGAGUGUGGUUGGCUUCCCUGCCUUGGGCAACCGGCUGGGCUGCAGGGAGUCUCGGGCUGGUGGUGGUCAGGCCCUCAUUCUGAAAGCAGUUUGUUGAGGGAUGCAGGCCGGAAGUGUAGGGGACUGGGCUGUUUCUCUUCUGGCCCUGGGACACACCCCAUGGCUCUCUCAUGUCUCAAGCAAGCCCUCCGGCAGGUGUUAGCUGUUCUUGUCAGCGGCCUCUCACACCCCCGGAGCAGGAUGGGGUAAACCACUCCCCGGCAAUUCCAGAACGUUGCUGGCAUCUCCUGCGAUUGAAGCUUCGUUGGAUUUUCACGUCUGUUUUGUUUUCUUUCCCUUCCUUCUGAAUGAUGGAGAUGGGGAGACACAAUGGCAGUUGCUACGGAUUGAAUGGGGGGGAUGGGAAGCUGGAGGGUGGUCCCUAAGCCGGGUGCGUAGCUGGACCACUGCUCUGGGCGGAAUCGAGUCCCCCAAACAUUCGUAUGGUGAAGUCCCAGCCCCCGCUGCCUCGGAAUGCAGCUAUAUUUGGUGACAGGGUCUCUAAAGAGGUGAUUAAGUGAAAAUGAGACCACUGGGCCCUAAUCUAAUCUGUGUCCUUAUUAUAAGAAGAGAAAAGGAUGCUCUCCAACAGAGGGAAGGCCAUACCAGUGAGAAGCUUGCCAUCUGCACACCAAGGAGAGAGGCCUCCGAGGACACUGCCCCUGCCCACACCUCGAUCUUGGACUCCAGAACAGUGAGAAAAUGCAAGCCUGUGGAGCUUGGUCCGGAGGCCCCAGCGCACUGACGCAGAGCCCCGUUGGAGAGCCACGGGCUGGGAUCACUGCCUUAGACAAUUUCCUGUUCUACGAAUGCUAAUAUUCCAACCAACUGGCCUCCAGUGAGAGAUCCAUAAUUAACUGAAAGGAGAUCACUUUUAAAUCAUCCCUGGGCACCAAUUUGGGAGGCCGGCUCCGGGGCUGGAUGGGCUGUGGGCUCAGCCCAGAGUGACUAGUCUUAUUUUCUUAACUAACAGGGAAGGACAUGUGGCCAGGGAAAGGAAAUGUGUCUCUGUGAGUUUUUAAGGGAUAAAAUAAAUAUGUUUCCAAAAUUCUGCUGGUCGAAUUCUCUGGAAAAAAAAAAAAAAACAAACACAAGUAAAUCGAUGAUACAACAGCGAGUGACUCGGGCAUCGGAGCCACAUGCCCACCUCCGUGUCCUCUUUUGCAUCUGUGAGUGGGGGACGCACAUUGGACUCCAGACUUCAGGUCCUGUCAUGU